rnacentral:rRNA from 1 species
UAGGGAAUCUUCCGCAAUGGGCGAAAGCCUGACGGAGCAACGCCGCGUGAGUGAUGAAGGUCUUCGGAUCGUAAAACUCUGUUAUUAGGGAAGAACAAAUGUGUAAGUAACUAUGCACGUCUUGACGGUACCUAAUCAGAAAGCCACGGCUAACUACGUGCCAGCAGCCGCGGUAAUACGUAGGUGGCAAGCGUUAUCCGGAAUUAUUGGGCGUAAAGCGCGCGUAGGCGGUUUUUUAAGUCUGAUGUGAAAGCCCACGGCUCAACCGUGGAGGGUCAUUUGAAACUGGAAAACUUGAGUGCAGAAGAGGAAAGUGGAAUUCCAUGUGUAGCGGUGAAAUGCGCAGAGAUAUGGAGGAACACCAGUGGCGAAGGCGACUUUCUUGUCUGUAACUGACGCUGAUGUGCGAAAGCGUGGGGAUCAAACAGG